GUGGUCCAGGGUUGGCCAAUGACCAGGACGCCCGGGAUGAGCUAAUAAUGGAAGCAAUUUGUAACUUUCAGUAGCUCUCUAGGCCUGAGUACUGGAGGGAGGGAGACGCGCCGAGGUGGGGAGGUGGGUACCCCUAGUCCUUGUACUCUCCUCUCUCGAGCAGGGGCACCCGGAGGCCCUAUUCCUCUUUAUCCCCAACACGCAGACACUCGCAGGGUCCCGUGCCCACUUCUGUACGCCGGCCGCCGCUCCAGAGCAAGCAGACGGCCUUGCGGCUGGACACCCAUUUCGUGGCUGCCCUUGCUGCCAGGUGUGGCCAGAGGGGAGUGGGAGCCAAGUAAUGUCAUCAGAGCCUUAAGACAUUGGGUAAGUUCUUCUUUCGCGAGCUAGACCCGAUGCACCUGGGACUGAGCUUUGACCAUGCACUUGAGGAGAAGUCCCUAAGAGAGAGCAAAGCAACCACAUGGAAGGAAGCCCGUCUCCGACUGACCUGGUGGAACCGAACUGCCUGCCGUCGAGAACUGCUCCACUGAGACUGUUACACGAAGAAUAAACUUGUUUUCUCUAA